rnacentral:snoRNA from 1 species
CUGCCAUGAUGAGAUUCAUUGAUAUUUAAGAAAGCAGAAAUGCUUAAUGUUCGGUUGACAAUCCUGUCAAUCCUGAGCGGUUACCUGAGCAG